rnacentral:pre_miRNA from 1 species
GAUUUCAACUGAAAAAGUCAUCAAUAACAAAGUUGUAUAAAUCAUCAAUAUCUAUAACUUUUAUUUUGGUCAUUUCUUCAUCCGACAAAGUAAUAGUAACAUUAUUUACAAAAUUUACAUCUCUCUCUUAUAGUUUAUAAACUAUAUAAGAGAUAUGUAUAUUUUGUGAACAAUGUUAUAAUUCGCUUUGUCGGAUGAAGAAAUGACCCAAAUAAAAGUUAUAGAUCUUGAUGAGUUAUACCACUUUGUUAUUGAUGACUUUUUUAAUUGAAAUC